AAAAUAAACAUUAUUUAAACAUAUUUGUUGAAAAAAAUUACAGAUUUGCCUGGAUAUUUCAAAAGUUGUCAAGCCUUGACAGGUGCCAGAACAUUUACAACAAAUAAUGACAGCAGAUACAAAAGAUGGCCAUAGUUUAUUUGUAAAAUAUUUCUGACCAAGUUUAAAAAAGUAUUGGCUCUUUAUUGAACAACAAAUUAUGUAGCUGAUAAAUGUUUAAAGCUAAUCAAAGCUAAUCAAGACUGAAUAUCAAGUAAUUGUUGGCUACAUGAAAAUGUGCUGAUAAUUCAAACCAAGGCAAGAGUAUGUUACAUACCAUAGAAUGACAUUGUACCAAGUGAACUGUCAUAAAUAACUGACAAAUGGAGAUAAAUAUGUCAUGUCAUUGUUUAAUCAAAUUAAGCAAGCAAUGAAAAUGAUGAUGAUGCUGGUGGUUGUAGAAGUGGAAUUUGGCAUGUUUACUAAUUGCAAUCAUAAGAAAAUAAUCAUUCAUAUACACGUAGAGCAUAUAUCUGAAUCAUGUCUCAUAAAUCAUCUAAAUAGUCAUUGGUGCAUUUGAAUGCUGGCUCCUAGAUCUUCUACAUGGUCGUUGGUGUAUCUGAAUCAUUUCUUCAAGAAGACUAGACACCAGGAAAGACAAUGUAUGUUCAUUGUCUAGUCUUCUUGCUUGUCUUUCUUCUAGAACUUCUAAAAAAGGUAAGAGGCCCUCUGGUCAUUUUUUUAACCAAUCCCUCAGGGUAAAAGUGCGUCAACAAGCUUGUAGCAUUAAAGAAUUUAUGAUAUAAUUAUUUAAAGCUACUUGAUAAUCCCUCAAUAUUUAUAUUGUAUAUAUUUUUGUGACUUGUACAGCUCACCUUGAUUACUUUUUAUUUUUUUUUUUAAAUUUAAAUUAUAAAAUUUGAAUACCAGAAUAAAUGGUGAUAGUUGAUUGAUCAAGGUGUGCACAUCAACCUGUCUAUCUCAAACAGAGUAGACGGGGGUGAAUAGGAUGUAUUUCAGGUAUAUAUUUGUCAAUUGUCAUUUUUUCUAGGAGAUAUUAGGAUGUUUAUUUUAUUUCUUUUCAGGUUUAUUUAAUAUAUUUAUUUUUAUAAUAUUUAGAUUUAAAUAA